rnacentral:rRNA from 1 species
AUGAAGAGGAAGAUGGAAGAUAGAAAGAGGAGGCCAUGGAGUAUAACUCGUGUAGGGUGUAAAGCUAAAUUGGUGAUUGCAAGACAGGAGGAAACAAGUCAGUGGUUUGUCAAGGAUUUCAUCGAUGAACACGACCAUCCUCUAGCCCCACGAGAUCUGUCGUGUCUUUUGCGUUCACACAGAAGAAUUAGCGAUGAGCAGAAAGCGGACAUUGCUGACAUGGAAAAAUCUGGGAUCAGAAAACACCAUGUUAUGGAUAUUGUGUGCAUGCAAUACGGUGGAUAUGAUGAGGUUGGAUGCAUUAUGAGGGACAUUUACAAUUUCUACCAUGCUAACAAGCAGGAAACAAUUUCUUUCGGAGAUGCUCAAACGGUGAUCAAUCACAUGGUGGCGAGGCAAGAGCAAGAUUCAGAUUUUUUUCUUCAGGUACUUGGUUGA